rnacentral:rRNA from 1 species
UACCCGCAGCACAAGUGGUGGUCAUUAUUAUUGGGCCUAAAGCGUCCGUAGCUGGCGUGUUAGAUGCCUGGGUAAAUCGAUGCGCUCAACGCAUCGACUUCCGGGUAGACCGGCACGCUCGAGACCGGGAGAGGUAUGGGGUACUCGGGGGGUAGGGGUAAAAUCCUGUAAUCCUCCGGGGACGACCAGUGGCGAAGGCGCCAUACUAGAACGGCUCUGACAGUGAGGGACGAAGCCCUGGGGCGCAAACCGG